UACCAAUUAUAUCCCGUUGAGAGUGGGAAAAGUAGAGCUGUGCCCCUGACACUCAUGCAAACUGAAUAUUUCAAAGCAGAGUUUAACAAUUCCUCAAUGGGGAAGGUGAUAAAUCCCUGAAGGAACAAGGAGGCAACUAUAGGUCUUAGCAAUACAAGGUGCCAGCACUAGCGGUUACACCUGAAGGCCAAGUUCUGAAUCUUCAAUCUCGAGAGUGAGUUUGCGAGUUAAAUAUUCCAACAGCAAGGGUGAAAUGAAGCUUUAGGACUAAAUGCACCGACUCUCGGUAAACCGGGACCUAAAAACAGGGAUUAGAUACCCCUUUAUUCCCGGAGAAUCAAAUAGGAGUAGGAGGAAACUCUGAAAAUGAAAUCUCAUGGCGGCUUCCCCACCUUAUAGAGACGUAUGCCCACUAAAGGACAACACACCAUACAAUCUUUCUUUCGAACUAUCCUUUAACACAGCCGUCUGAAGGGCUCCUUUAGAUGGGAGAUCCAACAGCCCCAAACAUUCAUGAAGUUAGUUUGAAGGCAGUAAGUCAGGUAAAUGCUAAGGAAUGCGGAAGUCUGGGUGUACGUCAGUUUGAGCUAAUUGACUAGUUGCUGAAAGGCAUCUGGCUGGAGAGAAUUUAAAAGUAACUUCCAUCUCAUCAUGGGGAAGUGAAUCGGGCAAGGGGAAGUGUUCAUAUCGCCCGUCAUUCAUCUCGAAAGAGAUGACAAGUCGUAACAAAGUUAGCCUACUGGAAAGUGGGCUAGGAAUCCUUACUUUCGAUAG
rnacentral:rRNA from 1 species